GCCAAUAGCACUCGAAACUCCGUGUGGGCAGCGAGUGUGCACUACCUCCUCUCCCCCAAAUCAAGGAUGGUUGCGAGGAUUGGGGUACUGAGUGACAGAGUUCAGAAGCUGUGUGUGUUUGCCAAGAGCCUCAGAGGUCAUGGUGAGACAGGGCUUCUCGGGGCUGGAGAGAUGGCUCAGUGGUUAAGAGCACUGACUGCUCUUCCAGAGGUCCUGAGUUCAAUUCCCAGCAACCACAUGGUGGCUCACAACCAUCUGUAAUGAGACCUGGCGCCCCCUUCUGGUAUGCGGGCACACAUGGAAGGAAUGCUGUACACAUAAUAAAUAAAUCUU